AUUGAACGCUGGCGGCAGGCCUAACACAUGCAAGUCGAGCGGAUGAAGGGAGCUUGCUCCUGGAUUCAGCGGCGGACGGGUGAGUAAUGCCUAGGAAUCUGCCUGGUAGUGGGGGAUAACGUCCGGAAACGGGCGCUAAUACCGCAUACGUCCUGAGGGAGAAAGUGGGGGAUCUUCGGACCUCACGCUAUCAGAUGAGCCUAGGUCGGAUUAGCUAGUUGGUGGGGUAAAGGCCUACCAAGGCGACGAUCCGUAACUGGUCUGAGAGGAUGAUCAGUCAACUGGAAAGGGAGCCCGCGCCCAGCCCCCCAGGGGAGGGAGAGGGGGGAAUAUUGGGAAAAGGGGGGAAAGCCUGACCCAGCCUUGCCGGGGUGGUGAAGAAGGUUUUCGGUUUGAAAAGCCUUUUAAGGGGGGGGAAAGGGAGGAAAGUUAAAACUUGGUUGUUUUGCGGUAACAAACAAAAAAGGCACCGCUUACUUCGGG
rnacentral:rRNA from 1 species